UCGAAGUGUGUAACCUUUGUGCUGGACGC
rnacentral:piRNA from 1 species